rnacentral:snRNA from 1 species
GCGCUCACUUCGGCAGCACAUAUACUAAAAUUGGAACGAUACAGAGAAGAUUAGCACGGCCCCUGCGCAAGGAUGACAGGCAAAUUUGUGAAGCGCUCCAUAUUAAA